GGAGGAAUAUUGGUCAAUGGACGUAAGUCUGAACCAGCCAAGUAGCGUGCAGGAUGACGGCCCUAUGGGUUGUAAACUGCUUUUAUGCGGGGAUAAAGUGGGGGACGCGUCCCUUUUUGCAGGUACCGCAUGAAUAAGGACCGGCUAAUUCCGUGCCAGCAGCCGCGGUAAUACGGAAGGUCCGGGCGUUAUCCGGAUUUAUUGGGUUUAAAGGGAGCGUAGGCCGGCUUUUAAGCGUGUUGUGAAAUGCCGCGGCUCAACCAUGGCACUGCAGCGCGAACUGGAGGCCUUGAGUGCGCGGGAGGUAGGCGGAAUUCGUGGUGUAGCGGUGAAAUGCUUAGAUAUCACGAGAACU
rnacentral:rRNA from 1 species